rnacentral:rRNA from 1 species
AACGAACGCUGGUGGUAUGCUUAAUACAUGCAAGUCGAACGGGUGUGGCAAUACAUCAGUGGCAAACGGGUGAGGAAUAUAUAGGAACCUCCCUAGCAGUAAGGAAUAACUUUGGGAAACCAAAGCUAAUGCCAUAUAUUACCCUUCGGGGGAAAGAUUUAUCGCUGUUAGAUGGGCCUGUAUCAGAUUAGCUAGUUGGU